GAUGAACGCUGGCGGCGUGCCUAGUACAUGCAAGUCGAGCGAACAGACGAGGAGCUUGCUCCUCUGACGUUAGCGGCGGACGGGUGAGUAACACGUGGAUAACCUACCUAUAAGACUGGGAUAACUUCGGGAAACCGGAGCUAAUACCGGAUAAUAUAUUGAACCGCAUGGUUCAAUAGUGAAAGACGGUUUUGCUGUCACUUAUAGAUGGAUCCGCGCCGCAUUAGCUAGUUGGUAAGGUAACGGCUUACCAAGGCAACGAUGCGUAGCCGACCUGAGAGGGUGAUCGGCCACACUGGAACUGAGACACGGUCCAGACUCCUACGGGAGGCAGCAGUAGGGAAUCUUCCGCAAUGGGCGAAAGCCUGACGGAGCAACGCCGCGUGAGUGAUGAAGGUCUUCGGAUCGUAAAACUCUGUUAUUAGGGAAGAACAAAUGUGUAAGUAACUAUGCACGUCUUGACGGUACCUAAUCAGAAAGCCACGGCUAACUACGUG
rnacentral:rRNA from 1 species